rnacentral:tRNA from 1 species
GGGCCUUUAGCUCAGUUGGUUAGAGCAACCGGCUCAUAACCGGUCGGUCCAGGGUUCGAGUCCCUGAGGGCCCACCA